AAUGCUCAACCUGUUUAGUAAAUAUCCAUAACAAAUGUCUACCUGGGAAUCAAGAGGAUGCCAAGUGUCUGUUUUGCCAAGAAGACAGUUCAGAAGAAGGUAACAGAAACAAAGAAACGGAGGGACAAGACAGUUCAGAAGAAGGUAACAGAAACAAAGAAACGGAGGGACAAGACAGUUCAGAAGAAGGUAACAGAAACAAAGAAACGGAGGGACAAGACAGUUCAGAAGAAGGUAACAGAAACAAAGAAACGGAGGGACAAGACAGUUCAGAAGAAGGUAACAGAAACAAAGAAACGGAGGGACAAGACAGUUCAGAAGAAAGUAACAGAAAUGCAGGAAUUUGGGGUGAAAGCAGCUCAGGACACAACCAAGAUCAGACAGGGGGAUUCCUGGUGGAAAGUGCUUUAAAAGUGUCAGACUUUCACCAAGCAAAAAGAUACCUAGUCACAUUAGAUGAGCUACAGAGAAGAUGCUCUCUGCCGGAGAGCUACUCUGCAAACACUAUAGUGGCUUAUCUUCGGAUGGCCAAGGGACAAAAACAGAAAAUUGUAGAG